GUGGAGACAAAUAUUAUAUUUUUCGACGUAAUGGAGGACUCGAGGAAGACUGCAGAGAGACUGUGCAAAUACCUCAAAGAUCACGGGAUACUCGUGUUUUACGUGGGCAAAUCCAGGAUUAGAAUUGUUCUUCACCACCAAAUUUCAGCAGGUGAUGUGCAGUACACUCUGUCAUGCUUUCAGCAAGCUUUAACUGGGGAAUAUGAUGAAAAUUGCAACAACUAGUGGGGGAGGAAAGAAAUUCCUCAUGGAGAUCUCUUAAGAGGGCUUACUCACAUGUAAAA